UGGUGGAGUGAUUUGUCUGCUUAAUUGCGAUAACGAACGAGACCUUAACCUGCUAAAUAGCCAGGCCCGCUUUGGCGGGUCGCCGGCUCCUUAGAGGGACUAUCGGCUCAAGCCGAUGGAAGUUUGAGGCAAUAACA
rnacentral:rRNA from 1 species